AGUGAACGCUGGCGGCAGGCCUAACACAUGCAAGUCGAACGGCAGCACAGCAGUAGCAAUACUGUGGGUGGCGAGUGGCGGACGGGUGAGGAAUACAUGGGAAUCUACCCUGUCGUGGGGGAUAACGUAGGGAAACUUACGCUAAUACCGCAUACGACCGAGAGGUGAAAGCGGCGGACCGCAAGGCGUCGCGCGACUGGAUGAGCCCAUGUCGGAUUAGCAGUUGGGCGGGGUAAAGGCCCACCAAGGCGACGAUCCGUAGCUGGUCUGAGAGGAUGAUCAGCCACACU
rnacentral:rRNA from 1 species